GGAAGCCUUUCGGGGCCGCCGGCACAGGGAGGGACUCUGAGGACACAAAGUUGGGUCCAGGGGGAGAAAGAACAUUCCAGCAGCCUCAGCCGGCUGCUUGUGGGGCGAUAAGCACCCAUCACUGGGUUUGGUGGGGAGUGGGCUCGCAGGCCCCCAGGUGUCCAGGGACUCGCUCUCCCUGGGACAGCCCAGCACCCCCAGUACCCCCCGCGUGACCUUGAGCCUCGCUGAGAACAAACAGCUCCAUGUUUGGCCGGCUCUCGCUCCCCACCCGCCGGCGGCCGACUGAGCAGACUGAGAUUUUAAUUAAAACCCGGAAAAUCCAUCUGUGUAAUUAAGCCUCCGGAAGUCAGCGGCUGUGAGAUGAGAGUCCGGUUGGCACCGCCUGUCGUCAGCUGCCCACUGAGGUGUGACUCGGGGAUGGCUGGCCUGGGGGGCUGAUGGAGCCCCCCCUCCAGCGGGUCUCCUCUCUGGACUGGGCCAGGGGCACCCUGUGCAUGGAGAGCCCUCCCUGGGCAGGGCGGCUUGCGUCUCCUGGGUGCACUUUGUACAAAGGCAGGACCCUGGGACCUCGUCCCUCACAUGGUGUUUAGGUGGGGGUGGGGCGGGUGUAUCAGGAUGGUAACCACCAAGGGAUGUGCUUGCGGGUAUGGAUGGGGGCCAUAUUGGCCAGGUAGGUCACCCCAGCCACAUGGACCAUGUCCCUGCUGCUCUCGUGAGCCUGUGCUCAUCCCUCAGGGUCUCUGCGGCCAUGGAAGCUGUCCUGAGCCCCUGGGGCAGGCCACAAGGUUGAGGAAGGCAGACGGGGCCGGCAAGGUCAGGAGAAGCUGAGGUUGAGAGGGUUGUCUAUGGUUUGGGAAGGUAUUGAGGUAGGACCGCAGCCAAGCUGGACUGUCUUUACAACUUGCUAGGGACCUGGCUUGAGGCACUGGCGGGGGACUGCGACCCCCAGUCCCAAUAGCCCUUUGUGGGUCCUGGUCCAGACCAGCCUGGGGCUCCAGAUGCGCACAGCACCGUCGAGCGCCAAGGUCCUCAGCUCUGCCCUAUGGCAGCUCCAGGGUCUGGGUGACCUCAGAGUGAGAGUGGGUGCAGGCCCUGGAGGAAUCAGGCUGGUGACAUCAGUCUGAGAAGAGGGAUGUGAUGAUGGUGGAAGAUGGGAGGGGCUGAGGGCUCAGGGGUGGGCUGGGCCGGGCACCUUGCUGCUCCUGGAGCAGGAUGUUCACCACGUGGGAGGCAGGGCCAGCCAGGCAGAAGCCCUUGGGGUAGCGGAAGAGCUAGGGGAAUUGGGG
ensembl:lncRNA